UACAGAGGGGGCAAGCGUUGUUCGGAAUUACUGGGCGUAAAGGGCGCGUAGGCGGCCUGUUAAGUCGAACGUGAAAUCCCCAGGCUCAACCUGGGAACUGCGUCCGAUACUGGCAGGCUUGAAUCCGGGAGAGGGAUGCGGAAUUCCAGGUGUAGCGGUGAAAUGCGUAGAUAUCUGGAGGAACACCGGUGGCGAAGGCGGGUCUCUGGGCCGAUACUGACGCUGAGGAGCGAAAGCGUGGGGAGCGAACAGG
rnacentral:rRNA from 1 species